rnacentral:rRNA from 1 species
GUGAACGCUGGCGGUAGGCCUAACACCUGCAAGUCGAACGGCAGCACAGUAAGAGCUUGCUCUUACGGGUGGCGAGUGGCGGACGGGUGAGGAAUACAUCGGAAUCUACUUUUUCGUGGGGGAUAACGUAGGGAAACUUACGCUAAUACCGCAUACGACCUACGGGUGAAAGCAGGGGAUCUUCGGACCUUGCGCGAUUGAAUGAGCCGAUGUCGGAUUAGCUAGUUGGCGGGGUAAAGGCCCACCAAGGCGACGAUCCGUAGCUGGUCUGAGAGGAUGAUCAGCCACACUGGAACUGAGACACGGUCCAGACUCCUACGGGAGGCAGCAGUGGGGAAUAUUGGACAAUGGGCGCAAGCCUGAUCCAGCCAUACCGCGUGAGUGAAGAAGGCCUUCGGGUUGUAAAGCCCUUUUGUUGGGAAAGAAAAGCAGCAGGUUAAUACCCCGCUGUUCUGACGGUACCCAAAGAAUAAGCACCGGCUAACUUCGUG